GACGAAGGGGGCUAGCGUUGUUCGGAAUUACUGGGCGUAAAGCGCGUGUAGGCGGUUGCCCAAGUCGGGUGUGAAAGCCUUGAGCUCAACUCAAGAAAUGCACUCGGUACUGGGUGACUAGAGGACCGGAGAGGAUAGUGGAAUUCCCAGUGUAGUGGUGAAAUACGUAGAGAUUGGGAAGAACACCAGUGGCGAAGGCGGCUAUCUGGACGGUUUCUGACGCUAAGACGCGAAAGCGGUGGGGAGCAAACAGG
rnacentral:rRNA from 1 species